rnacentral:lncRNA from 1 species
CUGAAAAAGGUGGAAAAUUUAGAAAUGUCCACUGUAGGACAUGGAAUAUGGCAAGAAAACUGAAAAUCAAGGAAAAUGAGAAACAUCCACUUGACAACUUGAAAAAUGACAAAAUCACUGAAAAACGUGAAAAAUGAGAAAUGCACACUGUAGGACCUGGAAUAUGGCGAGAAAACUGAAAAUCAUGGAAAAUGAGAAACAUCCACUUGACAACUUGAAAAAUGACGAAAUCACUGAAAAACGUGAAAAAUGAGAAAUGCACACUGUAGGACCUGGAAUAUGGCGAGAAAACUGAAAAUCACUGAAAAUGAGAAAUACACACUUUAGGACAUGAAAUAUGGCGAGGAAAACUGAAAAAGGUGGAAAAUUUAGAAAUGUCCACUGUAGGACAUGGAAUAUGGCAAGAAAACUGAAAAUCAUGGAAAAUGAGAAACAUCCACUUGACGACUUGAAAAAAGACGAAAUCACUAAAAACGUGAAAAAUGAGAAAUGCACACUGUAGGACCUGGAAUAUGGCAAGAAAACUGAAAAUCACGGAAAAUGAGAAAUACACACUUUAGGACGUGAAAUAUGGCGAGGAAAACAGAAAAAGGUGGAAAAUUUAGAAAUGUCCACUGUAGGACAUGGAAUAUGGCAAGAAAACUGAAAAUCAUGGAAAAUGAGAAACAUCCACUUGACGACUUGAAAAAUGACGAAAUCACUGAAAAACGUGAAAAAAGAGAAAUGCACACUGUAGGACCUGGAAUAUGGCGAGAAAACUGAAAAUCACGGAAAAUGAGAAAUACACACUUUAGGACGUGAAAUAUGGCUUAAAAACUGAAAAAGGUGGAAAAUUUAGAAAUGUCCACUGUAGGACAUGGAAUAUGGCAAGAAAACUGAAAAUCAAGGAAAAUGAGAAACAUCCACUUGACAACUUGAAAAAUGACAAAAUCACUGAAAAACGUGAAAAAUGAGAAAUGCACACUGUAGGACCUGGAAUAUGGCGAGAAAACUGAAAAUCACUGAAAAUGAGAAAUACACACUUUAGGACAUGAAAUAUGGCGAGGAAAACUGAAAAAGGUGGAAAAUUUAGAAAUGUCCACUGUAGGACAUGGAAUAUGGCAAGAAAACUGAAAAUCAUGGAAAAUGAGAAACAUCCACUUGACGACUUGAAAAAAGACGAAAUC